UGCCUCCCCACCCCCUCAGAGAUAUUUAGAAUGAGAAAAUGGUUUCAUUUCAGGGCUGUAUUCUUCUCCAACGCCACCCUAUGGAUGCCAAAUUGUCACUGUCCAGUGCCAGCAUACUCUGGGGCCAUCUCUCUACAAAUACAAUCCCUCAACAAAUAUUGAGUACCUAUGAGGCAAGAAUGACCUGCACCUGUGCCAGUGGGACCAAAAGAUGAGUUAUGGGAUCAAGAUACUUGAGAAGAUACAGAAAGAUAUAUAACUCCUACAUCCCCGAAAUCAAGGAGACUAAGGUUACCCCCAAUAGCCCUAUCCUCAGAGGUCUGUGCACUAGUUGGGGUAGAGGAAGUAGGACUAUGAAGAAGAUUCUAAAACAUAAGUGAGGGGGAAACAGAAGAAAAAUCUGAAAGAGAAAGAGAGAAAGCCCGAUUAAAAUCCCAAUCUGCAAGCAGAUAAACCAACAGAGGAGAUCAAAAGACGAAAAAAAAAAAGGAAAAGUGAGCAAAA
rnacentral:lncRNA from 1 species